rnacentral:rRNA from 1 species
UACGUAGGGAGCAAGCGUUGUCCGGAAUCAUUGGGCGUAAAGCGCGCGUAGGCGGCCCCGUAAGUCCGCUGUGAAAGUCAAAGGCUCAACCGUUUGAAAGCCCGGUGGAUACUGUGGGGCUAGAGUACGGAAGAGGCGAGUGGAAUUCCUGGUGUAGCGGUGGAAUGCGCAGAUAUCAGGAGGAACACCAAUAGCGAAGGCAGCUCGCUGGGACGUUACUGACGCUGAGGCGCGAAAGCGUGGGGAGCAAACAGG